rnacentral:misc_RNA from 1 species
UGGUUCUGGCAUCGAUGAAGAACGCAGCGAAAUGCGAUAAGUAAUGUGAAUUGCAGAAUUCAGUGAAUCAUCGAAUCUUUGAACGCACAUUGCGCCUGCCAGUAUUCUGGCAGGCAUGCCUGUCCGAGCGUCAUUUCAACCCUCAAGCCCCCGGGCUUGGUGUUGGGGACCGGCCACCGCCGCACUCUCGCGGCGGGCCGCCCCCGAAAUGCAGUGGCGGUCACGCUGCGGCACCUCCUGCGUAGUAACUCACCUCGCAUUGGGUCCGCGGCGCGGCCACGCCGUAAAACAACCCCAUUCUGAAAUGUUGACCUCGGAUCAGGUAGGGAUACCCGCUGA